rnacentral:rRNA from 1 species
GUGAGGAAUUUUCCGCAAUGGGCGAAAGCCUGACGGAGCAAUGCCGCGUGAAGGAUGAAGGCCUAUGGGUUGUAAACUUCUUUUCUCAGAAAAGAAUUAUGACGGUAUCUGAGGAAUAAGCAUCGGCUAACUCUGUGCCAGCAGCCGCGGUAAGACAGAGGAUGCAAGCGUUAUCCGGAAUGAUUGGGCGUAAAGCGUCUGUAGGUUGUUUAAAAAGUAUUCCGUCAAAGAUUAGGGCUUAACCCUAGAUAGGCAGAAUAAACUUUUAAGCUAGAGUUUGGUAGAGGCAGAGGGAAUUCCCGGUGGAGCGGUGAAAUGCGUAGAUAUCGGGAGGAACACCAAAGGCGAAGGCACUCUGCUGGGCCAAUACUAACACUGAGAGACGAAAGCGAGGGGAGCAAAUGGGAUUAGAAACCCGGGUAGUCC